AUUACUUCUCUUUAUCACAUAAAUCCCCAAUUUCACAAACCCUAAACCUAACUUCUAAAACCAGCCACAUCAUCCCCUUUACCUCUGGUUUUUCUCUCAUACACAAGAGAGAAGCCACCAUCACCAAAUCUUUAAGAUUGCUAACAGGCCUGCCCCUUCAGAUCUUUUUUUCUUUCAAAACUUAAAAAAACAAAAAGAAGUAUUCACACACACCUACAGAGAUAAACACACACACCCACAGAGAUACACGGGAGAGAGACGAGAGGAACGAGGGAAAGCAGGGGCUGGGGAAAUGCACAGAAACAGAGACGAGAGACGAGGAACGAGAGCUAAGCACCUCACCUGUCGUCAUCUUCUUCACAUCACAGAGCCUUGAACCAAAUUCUCUAUAGCCACCAACCGUAAAGCUCAGUGCCCUUGCUCCACUGCUCAAAACCUCCAUCGAAACAAUGUGAAAUAGCUCGAGACAACUCCGAAUCACGAGUCACUGUUAUGGAGUCCGUUGGUUUUGUCUUUCUGGUUUAGUUCGAGUUUUCCGGCGUGCUUCAAGGUCAUCGAAGGUCAUUGUCCAAGGAGUCCGUUGCAUUCAUACAUCGAGGUAUGGAUCCACUUACCAGAGCUUGAGCAUGACAGAAGCCCCAGGACCAUCUUAGUUAGAGCCGUUGCUUUUAGGAGCUGUUUGAGGAGACUUUUUCUUUUUUGAGUAUGUUUUAUGUUGUCUUUUACUUUCUAGUAUUGUACAAUAAUAUCGAGUCUUUUAGGUGGUGUCGGUUUUUGUCGUAAUCUAGUCGAGUUUGUCGAAUCUUUUGUUAUCAUACUUCCUAUUAUGUAUUUGAAAAUCGAAAAAGUUAAAAAUGAAAAAUCUAAAAUAAUUUUGUUUUUAGUUUA